rnacentral:lncRNA from 1 species
CACCUGCCUGGACAUUAUGAGACAAUUAAAGACUCUCCAACACAGAUAAUCGCAUACUUCCUCUGGUCUUUCCCUAAUUCUUUCUAAUCAAUAACCAUUAUCCUAGGGAUUGCCAACACAAUAUGUUAUAGACUGCCAUUGCAUAGCAACAAGAUUAUUUUCCUGUUUUUCUUUAUGCGGGGAAUCAUCUCUCAAUCAACAGGCAAGAGUAGAAAAAAUGUAAGAAUCGUCAUCAAUAUGAUGACCAUCCAUGAUUCCAGAUGGCUUGUCCAAUGAAGAAACCUACUGUAAGCGAGGAAAGUCAGACAUGCAAAAGAGCAACUCAAGGGGAGGAGGAGCAAGGAAGACAGAAUUACAGGAAGGAACAGAGGAGCUAAGAAGAUUUAAAAGCAGUUACUUCACUUCCCUUUGGGAACUCUUCAAGGUAUCAACAAAUUCUGUUCCUUGAAUUUCACAAAUGCUAUGCUCUGGAUUUCUUGGAUUCUCAACCUGUGUGCCACAUUCCCUAAAGGAUUACACAUUAUUGUUUUAACAUUUAAACAAAGGAUGGAUGUUUGUUUAUUAUAAAUGGUUUUAAAAAAUCAUUUGAAUGUUCUAGACUAAACCCAUUGAGGAGUUAUGGGCUCAAUGCAUAGUAGUCUUUAAAACAAUAUUCAGGCUCUCAGAAAGAUUUCCAGUCAACAUCUUUCUAAUAUCUCCAGGAAUCUCAAAAUGCACAAGUCAUUAACAGGGCCUUUUUCAAUCAGAUUCCAAGCCAGCUAGCAAAAAUCAAAUUGUAUGCAAUCCAAAUAGUAGCCUCAGUGUAAUUUAAUCUCUAUCCCCCAGUAUGUGGACUCUAUUGAAUUACUCAUGAUUAUCUUGUCAACAAGGCA